AUUGAACGCUGGCGGCAGGCCUAACACAUGCAAGUCGAACGAGUGGCGGACGGGUGAGUAAUGUCUGGGAAACUGCCUGAUGGAGGGGGAUAACUACUGGAAACGGUAGCUAAUACCGCAUACCAUCGGAUGUGCCCAGAUGGGAUUAGCUAGUAGGUUGGGUAAAGGAUCACCUAGGCGACGAGCCCUAGCUGGUCUGAGAGGAUGGUCAUCGACACUGGAACGGAGACACGGGCCAGACUCCGACGGGAGGCAGCAGUGGGGAAGAUGGCACAAUGGGCGCAAGCCGGAUGCAGCCAUGCCGCGUGUAUGAAGAAGGCCUUCGGGUUGUAAAGUACUUUCAGCGGGGAGGCGUUACCCGCAGAAGAAGCACCGGCUAACUCCGUGCCAGCAGCCGCGGUAAUUC
rnacentral:rRNA from 1 species